rfam:Neotoma lepida isolate 417 scaffold_13860, whole genome shotgun sequence.
GUUGGCAGCCAUACCACCCUGAAGGCACCUAUACUCAGCUGAUCUCAGAAGCUAAGCAGGGUCAGCCCUGGUUAACACUUGGAUGGGAGAAAGGAUUGAUGGACACCUGGAUGCUUAUGUAGGCUGCUACCU